rnacentral:rRNA from 1 species
GACGAACGCUGGCGGCGUGCUUAACACAUGCAAGUCGAACGGAAAGGCCCUGCUUUUGUGGGGUGCUCGAGUGGCGAACGGGUGAGUAACACGUGAGUAACCUGCCCUUGACUUUGGGAUAACUUCAGGAAACUGGGGCUAAUACCGGAUAGGAGCUCCUGCUGCAUGGUGGGGGUUGGAAAGUUUCGGCGGUUGGGGAUGGACUCGCGGCUUAUCAGCUUGUUGGUGGGGUAGGGGCUUACCAAGGCUUUGACGGGUAGCCGGCCUGAGAGGGUGACCGGGCACAUGAGGCCUGAGAGAGGGCCCAGACGCCUACGGGAGGCAGCAGUGGGGAAUAUUGCACAAUGGGCGCAAGCCUGUUGCGGCAGCGCCGCGUGCGGGAUGCCGGCCUUCGGGUUGUAAACCGCUUUCGGCUGUGACGAAGCGUGAGUGACGGUACUGGGUAAAGAAGCACCGGCUAACUACGUG